AGUGAUAGUGUAGCGCGGUGGUCCCACCUGACCCCAUGCCGAACUCAGAAGUGAAACGCCGUAGCGCCGAUGGUAGUGUGGGGUCUCCCCAUGCGAGAGUAGGGAACUGCCAGGC
rnacentral:rRNA from 1 species